UGACCUCAUAUGAUUAUAGAAAGUCUACUGGAACAGUGUGUCUCAUAAGAGGGUUGAACAACAAAGUCAACAAAAUGCAGCCUGCCAUGUGUAUUCAUAUAACCAGUGAGCAAAGAAUGUUUAAAUUGAAAGAAAAAGAAGAAUAUUUUUACAUGAAAAAAUAUUUGUGAAUUUAUUAUUUCAGUUUCCAUAACAUUGAACUUGGUCAUGUUCUAUAGAAUGCUCUAUAGAUUGCCUAUAACUGCUUCCAUGUUGCAAUGGCAGAGUUCAGAAAUGUCAACAGAAUCCUAGUAUCCUGCAAAAUCCAUAUUGGCUAUAGACAUUUACAAAAGGAAGUUAGUCAACACUAUUAGAGUGUUAUCUCCACUGACAUCAGUGAUUUCAGCCUGUGGAAGAAAAAAUAAUUUAUCUAAUUGGAAAAUGGCAACCAAGGAUUGAAAAAUUCUAUAUCAGACUUUUCCAAAGGAAGAGCAUAAAUGGACCAUUCUCUUGAGGCUACAGUUCUAUAAACUUCAAAGAUACCAGCCAUAUCAUAACCUGCCAAGCAGUGAGCUGAAUGGGAUCAUCAAGCAGGUCCACAAAGCAGAUGCUUUGUUGGAUAAGGAGGACUGACAAUCCCUGAUUCUUCAGUCUAUUUCCCAUUUAGUUGCACAUAAGGAGGCAAUCAACUUUCAUUAAUUUUAUCCUCUCAUCCCAAUAAGAAAUAAACACCAUCUCCUCCUUGUUCCCCUGCUAGAAAGAGAGUAAUUUCAGGUCCUAAUCCUUAUACUAAAUACAAGAGCAAGCCCCAUGGCCUUCCUUCCCCUGAAGCCAUCAGUCUUCUCCCCAGGACAGCCUUAAUAAGUGCAACCUAAUGAAUCUUACCAGAUUUUUCCAAUGAAAAGACAAUUCUUAUUUGUAUUACUUUAAAUAUAAUAGUGAUAUUUUCUGACCUCAAAUUUUUUUAAAGAGAGAGAAAGAAUUAUUUAUUUUUUUAGUUUUCAGCGGACAAAACAUCUUUGUUUUUGUAUAUGGUGCUGAGAAUCAAACCCGAGCCGCACGCAUGCCAGGCGAGCGCGCUACCGAUUGAGCCAUAUCCCCAGCCCUGACCUCAAAUUUUAAAAUCUAUUUUGUAACAGCAAGUAGGUUUUCAGGAUGAACACAGAAAGCAUGUGGUAGAAAGAAUGUCAGCGCUUCACAGAUAAAAAUCAUCUCAAGACUUCAGAUGUGGAUGCUGGAAAUGAGGCCCAGUGGUAGAAUGUUGCCUGGUGUAUGCAAGGUUCUGUAUUUGAUCCCCUGUGUAAAUGGAUGGAUGGAUAGAUAGAUAGAUAGAUAGAUAGAUAGAUAGAUGGAUUCCAUAAAUGGGAGACAGAGAGGAAAUGGAAUAGCACAAUUUGAUUAUGUUCAUAUACUGUCCUAGUAAAGAUGAGGGAAGGAAGUGUUACAACAUUCUUUCCAUUUAUGGGAAAGAAGUGAACCCUUUCUGGAAGAAUAUAAGCUCUGAAAUUUUAUAUUUUUCCCCAUGUGAUACCCAGUUCUUCACCAAAAAAGAUUUGGCAUUUCAAGCAUAUGACAAAGUGGCCAUCAGAAAGAAGAAACAUACCUACUUCAAGGAACAUUUCUCACAUAUUUUUAUGCAGUCAGCACUAUCUUGAUAUCUAUUAUCAAAGAAAUUUUUUGGAGGAAAAAUUAUUGACAAAAAAUCUGUUAUAAGCACUGAAGACAUGAAAACAUGUGAUAGAUCAAAUCCAGCUCUGUGUAUGUAUUUGCAAUUUGCAUAUUUACUGCAGAAAAUCCAUCCAAUAUCAUAUAAUCUAUCCCCCAGAUGCUGAAAAUCAAUUUGUGUAUACACAUUCUUGACCAAAGUUUAUACGAAAUUAAGAGAAGAAAAUUUUCCUUAUUUGAAAAAGAACAUCUACCAAAUUGUACGUAAAACAACCUUCUCUGCAAUGAGAUAGUAAGCCUCUAACCAUUCCUGUAGAUAAGAAAUAAAAAAUGAAUGACUGCAAUCAUGUAUUCUGUUCAAUGUGAUUGAGAAAUCCUAAAAAGGGCAAUAAUGCAAUAAAGAGAAAUCAAGGAUAUAAAAACAGGAAAUACAUCAAAUUGACUCAAACAAGAGGAUAAAAAAAAACAGACAAUUCAAAUGUAUCUCAGGCAAACCAUUGGCAAUUACUAGGAAAGUUAUUAAGUUUACGAGAGGUAACAUCAUCACAAUGAUAAAAUCAAAUAUAAUCCCACACACCAGUUAGAAAGAAGAGGCAAAGAUGUGUUUAAAUGACAUAGCAUGAACAAAAAUAUUCAUUUUACAGGAAAAAAUAACAAAAUACUUAUGAGUCACUGAACUGAAAAAAACAUGACUGAGAAUAUUAUAUGAAGCAAAAAUAAAUUGAGAACAUAAUCAUGAAUUUAAAGAAUCAACAGGUCAAGAUAUCAAUUCUUACUUAAUUUGUCUAUAGGUUUAUUGUUCUCAUGAGGAAAACCUAAGAAAUCACUUGGGGAAAUAACAAACUAGUUUUUUAAUCAGAAAUUGAAUGCAACACUGCUUAACUACUGAGCUACAUCCCCAGCCAUUUUUUAUUUUAUAUUUUGAGUCAGGGUCUAUCUAAGUUACUUAGAGCCUUGCUAAAUUGCCAAGACUGGCUUAGAACCUGCACUCCUCCUGCCUCAACCUCAUAAACUACAUGAGCCACCACACCCUGUGACAACGAAAUUUUUAACCUUGGUAUGGAAAUGUAGACAUUUAAUAAUGGCAAAAACAAUGUUUAAAAUGUAAAACCAAUUUGGAAGGCUCACAUGGCCAGAUACAGCCACUUCUUAGAAAGCUUUAUACCCAAACUAGAAACUACACACAGGCCAUUAAGUAGCCAAAUGUUUUGCAACUUGUCUCAUCCUGUGUGUUAGAGAAUUACAAUCCUGCUAUGGAUUUGGGACCAGGAAGAACACUGAGGUGCAGCCCAAAAGAAACAAGCUUACCUUGGGAAUGAGGUAAUUUCUGAAUUUAACAUCACAAGUCACUGCAUGGGGCACGUUGACUGGAAGGAGAUCAAUGUAUCUCUGGAUCUCAUACAACACAGCAUCUGUGUAGUGCAUGCGGCUUCUGUCCUGCAUGCAGGGGCUGCGGUGUCUGCCAAUCACACACUGAAUCUCUUCCUGGACUUUAGCUGGUAAGACACAAGAAAGAAAUGAGGGGAUAGGAGAGAAAGGGCACUUUUGUCAUAGCAACUGAGUAUCAUAGCAUUAUGAAUAUAAAUGAUAUGCCCAGAGGCACACUUACAUAUAUAAACAGUGCCACUAGUGUGUAUAUAUA
rnacentral:lncRNA from 1 species